AUAUUGUGCAGCUUACCUGAGGUACCAAAAAAAAAAAAAAAGGUUAAACAAUUAAGUUAAGCCAUCAAGUGAAUAAUGAAGUGAUGUAGACUGUCAUUGUGGAUUUCUCCAGAACAAGCUCUCCAAGUGAGACGGGUUGAACUUCACAUAUUGUCUGUAAGAAGAAUUAGGAUGAGCUGUCUCCCUCCCUUGAAGACUAUGUGUCACUAUGGGGCUCCUAAGCAAGCUUGGAACAUCUAAAUGUCAUAUAACAUGGAAGGAUUAGAAGCAAAAGCCAAAGAAAGUUAAUCCAUUAAGUAUAUAAAGGAAGAAUGAACAGCUCUGGAAGGUGGACCAGUAAGAUAAAGAAAUGAUGUCCAGUGUGAGAGGAAUUAAAAAUAAUUAUUGCUCAUCUUUGCUGCAGACUGUGCAAGUUGCAUUUCAGACAGUAUAAGCUAUAGAUAUGGCAUCUAAGGACAGAUUUUAGCUGGAAAGAAGAUUUAUUCCUUCCUAACUCUAUCAUCAACACUAGCAGUAAAUCUCUGCUCCCACUGUGUCCACAUCACUGAACGUAUGUUACUACCAGAUCAAAGGAAGAAGAUGGAAGAAUGAAACUACCAGCCCAAGGGAGCAGGAAAUCAAUGGUGUACAGCUCCAAAAAAAAAAGUGCUUCUCUAGUUUGUGACAGAAUGGGUGUGAAACUAAUUAAGAUAAUGAAAAUUAGGAUGGUCUUUGUUCUGAUUAAGUUCUGUUAAUUGCUGUUUUGGUAUCUGUUGAAUAAAUAGGUAGAAGCUACAGAAAAAAUUACAAUCACUGUUAUAUAUGAUAAUAGGGCAUAAACUAAAGCAAAAUAUUGCUAGCAAUGUCUGUUUUUCAGUAAAUGAGGAAAGGAGAUUUUAAAGUUACUGGCCUACCAACUAUAAAUAUUUAGAAGGUUAGAAGUCUGGUUAGGCUACAGUGUGGGAAAUCUGUUUCAAGUCCAAGUCUAGAUUUUUCACCUCUUGGCUUAGCAAGUGUUGGAAAUGCUGUGGUGGCAGCUUAUUUUCUCAGGGGAGAGAGCUUGUCAGGCCUUUUGACAGCAACUUCUCUGGUUGAUUAAAUUGUGUCAGUCACUUCAGAACAGAAUAGCUUUUUGGACAAAUGGUAAGUGAACACGAUGUAGGUUCUGAAGGAUAGAAGUCAUAAAACAGUGAAAAUCUUGGGAUUCCUCAAAUAUGUCAGAUUUUCCAAAAUGCUGAUAAGUAACAUAUUGCACUGAGCAAAGAUAGUAUUUGAAACUAGGACAAAUGUUUAUACUUACGGAAUGCUUGUGAGAAUAAAAUAUUUUAAACAUC
ensembl:lncRNA